GUAUGAUGAUGAAACCCAUGCGUGUCAUAUGAAUCUGUAAACCCCUGCUGUGCUGUCACUCUGGUUGGCGUUCUGCUGACUACUGUGUACAGUGCAGCAUGACUUCAGAGACAUGAUCAUACCUCACUACUUCUGAAUAC